UGUAACGUAAACUUUAUGAUGUAUUACUAACCAACUUUUUUCGCUUUAAAUACUUCUUGAUUAAAUAAAAUUACAAGUGUGUGCACAUUCUAACAAUUGAUAAAUAGUUGGAAUUCAGACAUAAUAAUUAUAUAUGUAUUAUUGGUUAUAAUUCUAACGUUAUUCUAACGUAAAUUUUACAUCAGGUUUCUAACCGUUAGUUUAUGGUUAGUUUUCUGACGUAAAUCUAACGUUAGUUUUCUAACGUUAAUAUAACGUUAGUUUUCUAACGUUAAUAUAACGUUACUUUUAUGUCAUAAUUUUAACCGUUAAUUUAACGUUAGUUUUCUAACGUAAAUCUAACGUUAGUUUUCUAACGUAAAUCUAACGUUAAUUUUAUAACAUAAAUCUAAUGUUAGUUUUCUAACAUAAACCUGAUAUUAGUUGUAUAAAGUAAAACAAAUGUCAGUUUAAUUUCAUGAUACUAACAAUUAAAUUACUGUCAUUUUUUAUCCUUAGUUUUCUUACGUAAACAAAUGUCAGUUUAAUAACAUGAGCACCAUUUGUAAUGAAGCGACUCGAUGAAGAAGGCUAACCAUAUCCCACAGGACAAUACUGGUGUGGACUAGAAUAAGCAGACGCCAAAGACUGUAAUUCAAUUUGGGCUUUUUGCAUAUUUUGUCGAACAUAAUUGAUUAAAAUAUACAGUAAAACCAGAUAAGACUGAACUUUAUUCAGUUUAUAUACAUUCAUGUUAUAUUAUUAUAUGCCUUGCUACCCAUUUUUGUCCAUUUCCAGGUGCCCAACAAUAGAAAUGAAAUGGGGUUUAACGUCCUACUGUUCUGCUCCGAACUGGGCUAAUGAAGACGGGCAUGUGCCAUACAGUGUCCUAUGAGGGACAUUUUGCCCGUACAGCGGCACUACGACCUACUCUUAUAUCGAAUUCCAACUGUCAAGGGAUCUUUUACGUGCACACUAAUGUGUCAACAGGACCUCAGUUUUUCAUCGGAUCCGAACAACUAGACAGGUGUCCUUAUCAGGCCCUACGUCACGCAUCACUUUCUCGGCCAAUGCAGGGAUCGAACCUUUUAACUCCUUUAAGAAUUUCAGCCUGUAAGCGACACAUAAAGAGAAAAAGGAAUGAAUGAAUGACCUACUCUCAUUUCGAAUUCCAGCUGUCAAGGUUUCGUUUACAUGCACAUGCAACAUGAGCACAAGAUCUUGAUUUUUUGUCCUAUUUGAAGGACUAGACACUGUCCUACAUUACAAACAAGGGGAAAAUUCUAUACCAGGAUCGGACCCCUCGUUAGUUAGCCAGUGUGUUAACUUGAAAGUUAACCAUUAGCCAUUCAACCACGCCAGUGUGCUACAAGGGAGUUUUAUCCGGACAGCUGUGCUAAGGCCUACUCAUAUAUUGAGUUCCAACUGUGCCGAUGUGUACAUGGGACCUCAGUUUUUCGUCCCAUCCGAAAGACUAGAAACCUGUGCAGUGCACAAACACAUUCUCCUUAUUAUUCCUGUCUGUGACUACAGUAACUUGAUAUUGUACACAUUGGAGUGCACGUAAACGAUCCCUUGGUAGUUGGAAUUCGAUAUAAGAGUAUUCUGUUGUGCCGCUGCCCGGGCAAAAUUUCCCUCAUAGCACACUGUAUGGUGUAGGCCCAUCUUCAUUAGCCCGGAUUAGGAGCAGAACAGUAGGAUGUUAAACCCCAUUUCAUUUCAUUUUGUGUACAUGGGACCUCAGAUUUUCGUCCCAUCCGAACGACUAGACAGCUGUCCUUGUCAGGCCCUCUGUCCUGCAACACUGCCAAGCAGAAACCACAUCGGAAAAUCCUGAUGAACACUAGCCAGUCAGUGGCUCCGGGGUCAUAAAUGUAGUGCCACAAAAAAAAAAUUUGCAGUUCACAAACACAUUCUCCUUACUAUUUGAGUCUGUGACUACAGCAACUUGAAAGUAGUCCAAUUAAUAGCCUUUUUUAUGUGGUUUUGCAAUCGAAAUCAAACCUGAGAGGGAAAACAAAUAAUGAUAAUACAUGAAAAAGUGUGGCACCAUCCAAAGGGAGAGUGAGAAUGAAAUGGGGUUUAACAUUCACUCGACACAAACUAGGUUAUUUCAGGACUAACCGUAGGGGUCUUUAGCAGUGGGAGGAAACCGGAGCACCCAGAGAAAAUCCACGGGGUUGGACAGACGUCCCUACUCCUUGUCAUAUUCAACCCGGGAAUGGAACCCAUGCCAGUUGACUCAAUGACAUACCUUAUGAUACAACACGCAUGCGCUAAAUCGAUGGACACACUAGCCGAAUCGUUCGGCUGAAUGGGUGGACACACUAGCUGAAUGCUUCGCCCGAUUCAACCUGUCGGUUGCAUCACCUUUCACGUCACAUGAUUAAACAUGGCGGCGUCUGUGUCUUUAAUCUAUCAUGUGACUUCUCGAUAUGAGUGGUGAUUGGCUAAUGAAUUCUAUAUUCGGCCGAAUGCUUCGGCGAAGCGAACACACCAGGCGAAUAUAAUUGAUUCGGGCGAAUUAUUCGGCCGAAUGACAGUGGACACCGAAUCAUUCGGCUAGUGUGUCCACCGCCUAACCAUUUGUCCAUCCGACCCUCCGCCAGUGCGUUACCAGGGAGUUUUGUCUGGACAGGAGUGCUAAGGCCUACUCUUAUAUUGAAUUCCAACUGCAAGGGGAUCUUUAAGUGCAUGCCAAUGUGUACAUGGGACCUCAGAGAGAAUGAAAUGGCAUUUAUCAUCAACUCGACACAAACUAGGUCAUUUCUGGACUAACAUAUAUAGUUUAAUUUUAUUUCAAUAAUUCGCGUGCCCGUAGGGGUCUUUAGCAGUGGGAGGAAACUGGAGGACCCAGAGAAACCCAUGAAGUUUGACAGGCGACCUUACUCCUUGUCAUGUACAACCAGGAAAUCGAAACCACGCCAGUUGACUCAAUCAUACCUUAUGAUACAACGCGCACACGCUAACCAUUUGGCCAUCCAACCUCGCGCCAGUGUGCUACAAGGGAGUUUUGUUUGGACAGCAGUGCUCAGGCCUACUCUUAUAUUGAAUUCCAACUGCCAGGGGAUCUUUUAUGUACAUGCCAAUGUGUACAUAAGACCUCAGUUUUUCGUCCCAUCCAAACGACUAGACAGCUGUCCUUGUCAAGCCCUCCGUCCUGCACCACUGACAAGCGGAAACCACGUCGGAAAAUUCUGAUGAGCUUUCUCAGGCAACACUGUGAGCGAACCUGUGACCUCCAAGCAAGCCAGCCAGUGUCUUAUUCACUUAGCCACUGUGGCAAAGGGGUCAUAAAUAUAAUUCCACAAAAAAACCUGUGCAGUUCACAAACACAUUCUCCUUACUAUUCGAGUCUCUGUGACUACAACAACUACUCGAAAGUAGUGCGAACUGUAAAUUUUAUUUUGUUAAACCAUCGUAAGAAAAGAAACAUAUUGAAUAUGCUUGUCAAUAUUCUUUCUCUGUCAGAGCAGCUAAAAGGUGAAAUUGUCUUCCAAAAACUCUUUGUGAGUCCUCUUCCAUCCAAAACUUAAAAAAAAAUUAUUUCAAAAAUGGUGUUGAGAGAGAGAGAGAGAAAUGGGGUUUAACAAGAGAGAGAGAGAGAGAGAGAGAAAUGGGGUUUAACGUCCACUUGACACAAACUAGGUCAUUCGGGACUAACAUAUAGUUUAAUUUUAUUUCAAUAAUUUGCUUGCGCGUAGGGGUCUUUGGCAGUGGGAGGACCCGGAGAAAACCCAUGAGGUUGGACAGGCGACCCUACUCCUUGUCACGUAUAACCGGGGAUUCGAAACCACGCCAGUUGACUAAAUGACAGGUCGUCACCAUUCGGCCAUCCAACCCCCCAAAAAUGGUGUUGAAAUGGGUGUUUUUGUGAAUGCGCUUAGAAAUACUCAUGUGUAAUGAAGUGCUAUAAUUGAACCAUAAUAAUAAUAUAGUAGGCCUAGUGGACUCCUCCGUCUCAUUUUGGUUGAAUGUUUGGAAAUUUGAUGGCUAAUUAGAUUUAGGACACUCUGGCAUAUUUUCUAGGCUUGGCUUCAUGUGGCCUGUUUUCCAUGCAUACAAGAAUUAACCAAUUAGAAGUUAAACAAAAUAAAAUCUGCUCCAAAAUAUUACAAUACUUUUUUUUAUUUCAUUGCCCAAAACACCUUUACAGCCUGAAUGUUAAUUUUGGGGCAGCGUUUAACUGCAUGGGUGGUAAUUGAAUUUAUUAAAUUGACUAACUUUUGCACAAUAAGUAAAUAUAAAUUAUCUUAAUACCCCAACUCAGACAAGUUAGUGGCCUUUCAAACCAAUUUAAAUUCGGUCAAAAUUUGUAGAAAUUUAGAUAUUAUUUUAUUGCAUGUGUGUACAAUUUGUUAUGUGUCUAAGCUCUGUUACCACAAAAAAUAUAUUUAAUUUAGUCCUUAUAGUAGAUUCUAUCACACGUUUGAAAGUUGUCCAACGGUCGAAUAAAUAUGUUGUAGUUUGACCUAGAUAAAUAUAAGACUGGGAAAAUAAAUAUAAAAAAAAUUCCGACAUCUUAAAAGUAGAUACCUAUAUUCGCAAUGGAAAUAUUAUUUUAAAAAUCGGGAUUAUUUAAUUUGAUACAACUGAAUAAAAUGGCUCUAGUCGAUCUAUUUAAAAAAACAUCAACCAAAUAUACGAGUUGGGCAACUGCCAGUGCAGUACUGCAUCCGUCGUGAUCCGAAUAAAGCUGUACGUAUGUAUAUUAUAUCAUGUGCAUGCUUAAAAAAAGGCCUCUGAAUCAUAUAAUAAUUUCUUCAAUUUUACUAUUCAUAAGCCUAAAAUAUUACGUAGUUAUAGACUAUAUAUAAAAUAUUGAAGUGCGUAGGCCUACAGUUGAUAGUCGCAUAGACUCCGUUAUCUACGUAUAUGAUAUAUGCCGCCAUUUUGGGUCAAGGUCAAGAUAAAUUACAGUCAAUACAAAUGAAGAACUACAUCGAUAGAUUAUUAAAUGUAAUUUCUAUUAACUGAUUUCAAUGUUAGGUGGUCUAUGUUUGUUGUCUUUUUCAGUAUAUUGUCCACAUUGAUUAAACUAUCAUUAUUAAAAUCAUUUUGAUUCUUCUAUAUUUGUACGUACUUUUUUACAACUCUGAACCCGGAAGCGAGGUAUUCUGGGAAGGGUAUUUUAAAGAUGGCGGGCGUUUUGGAAUUUAUUCGUGGAGUGCAUGAGAAAUGUUCAAUAUACAGCUACUUGGAUUACACAAACAGAGAAAGAUAGAUUAUACCAGUUAAAUUGAGAGGUUUUAUUUGAAAACCCUAUAUUUGAGCACCAUUCAUGGCAGUCAUGUCGAGGAAGUUAUAAAAAGGCUGAUAAGGGCUUUGUAUAUGGAAGCUAGAUGACAUUACUACUUAUCAUACACAACUAUUUGUCACAUACCGACUUGGGAUUGAAACCAAGCGACUGAACUCAAUAACACUCCUCAAUAACACUCGUCUAUGAAACCACCCAGAUGGCAAAGAAAUAAAGACUUUUUAAUUAUGUAACGAACUCAUAUAUGUAUCUAUGGUAGCACAAAAUUCACCAGAAUGUAGGCCAAAGCUUUACUUUACAAGCAGUAGGCUUAAAAUAUUUUCCGUCUGAUCUUGUAAGAGUCAAUUGUUUAUGAAUAGUUUGCCUCAAGCAGAUAUCCUGUCACUGUGUCACAGUAUCAUAUAACCGCUCUUUGGCUUGAACUGAGUUGUAUCAGUGAGUUGAAAAUCUACUGCAGCCAGUAUAUUAGAUUCAAAAUUCUAACGAGCUUUCGUCUAACUUCUAACUUCUGUUCAUGUAUUUUUUAACUUCUAUUCAUGUAAUUUCUAACUUCUAUUCAUGUAUUUUGUUAAAUUAAGACAAUGUAUAAUCCAACUUCUUUAUUUGUUCAGUGUAAAUUUUAAUUCUAUUCCAUCUUAUUUCUAUUAUUUAGACGAAAAACGUCUUCUUAAUUUUUACACUUCUGCCUAGCAACCAUCAUUAUGAAGUCAUUUUUGGUGAUUGCGCACCUGGUCGGGACCAUUGUGUUGAUAUAAACGACACAUUCUUGAUAAAGACGAGAGUGUCCUCGUCGAAACGUUGCUUUAUAUUAAACUCAGUAAGAGUUAUCUAUAAAAUUGUACCCUGUGUUAAUGUAGACCAACAGUAUAUAAAUAUUAAUUGGCUCAAUUUGUCUUAAAAAAAAUGAACAAAUGCUGUUUAGCUUGUAUUUGAAAUAGAAAAUGAAAUAUAAUGGGGUUUAACAUCCUACUAUUCUACUCCGAACUUGGCUAAUACGCCAUACAGUGUGCUACGAAGGAAACUUUGCCCGGACAGCGGCACUACGGAACGAUUAGACAGCUGUACUUGUUAGGCCCUCCAUCCUGCAUCACUGACAAGGAGGAACCAUGCCGGAAAAUCUGGAUGAACUUUCUUGACCAAUGCAGGGAUCGAACACCCUACCGCUAGGCUAGUGAGCCAGCGUCUUACCGACCGUAUUUGAAAUCGUAUUUGCAAACCAUACAUAGAUAUCACGUUCAAUGUUGUUUGUGGGGUUGGACGGCCGAAAGGUUAGCACGUGCGCGCUGUACCAUAAGGUAUGUCAUUGAGUCAACUGGUGUGGUUUCGAUUCCCCGGUUGUACGUGACAAGGAAUAGGGUCGCCUUUCCAACCUAGUGGGUUUUCUCCGGGUCCUUCGGUUUCCUCCCAUUGCUAAACACCCCUACGCGCAAGCGAAUUAUUGAAAUAAAAUUGAACCAUGUUAAUACCGAACCUACAUGUAGUUUGUGUUGAGUGGACGUUUAACCCCAUCAGACUCUCUCUCUCUCGCUCUCUCUCUCGAAGUUGUUUUCAAUUUUAGCACUCCACCAAACCAUUCAACUGGACUAAGAGCGAGUCAUUUGUAUCAACAGAAUGGUCCCGAUCAGGUGCUCAAUCGCCAAAUUGAGCGAACGGUGGCGACACCAAACGACGUCAUAAUGAUGGUUGCUAGGUAGAAAUCAAAAUUCUAAAUUUGUUUACCAUUCAUGCUUAACAUGUAAAGUGACUAGACAUUUUUCGCCUUAAUAAUAGAAAUAAGAUGAAACAAUUAAAAUUUACACUGAACAAAAAAAGAAGUUGAAUUAUACAUUGUCUUAAUUUAGAAAUUACAUGAAUGGAAGUUAGAAAUUACAAGAGUAGAAGUAAGAAAUUAGACGAUAGCAUGUUAGAAUUUUGAAUCUAAUAUACCGCCAUAGUAUACGGGGAAACUUUUUAAACCCUUACAAAUUCUUCAAAUUUUUGUGAUAGAUCAAUAAUAGCAAAAAUCUGUGUUAAAAUUAUAUUUGUAAUGUGUUUAACAAAUUCUAUCACACAUGUAAUAUUGGUGUAAUUUAGUAUAUACCUUAUUUCAAUACUGGGGUAUUAUAUCGUUGCCCUGACUGUUUGUUUGUCCAAAUUAGUUUGUGAUUGUGAAGGUGACAGUUUUUUAUACGCUAACAUUUUCAUGUAGACGUAUAUUUUUGUAGCCCCUGUCCGUCCGAACGUCCAUCGGUCCGUCCACAAUUGUUUGUGGGACCGUAACUUCAUGGAUUAUGGCCCCUGAUUGUACUGAAAGUCAUGUUUUUAGCUUGUGGACCCUAUAGAGGUCAAAAUUUUUAUAUGCCCACAUUUUCAUGUGGACGUAUAUUGUGGUAGCCCCGGUCCGUCCGGACGUCUGUACACAAUUGUUUGUGGACACUCUACAGGUCACAAUUCUUAUCCGAUUUUGACGAAACUUGAAAUAUAGGUUUAUCUCCAAAAGAUCUUGGUUGCUUUCGAUAUUGGCAUGUAUCUGACCGUAACUUCUUGGAUUAUGGUCCCUGAUUGUACGAAAAAUCAAGUUUUUAGCUUGUGGACCCUAUAGAGGUCACAAUUUUUAUACGCCCACAUUUUCAUGUGGACGUAUAUUGUCGUAGCCCUUGUCCGUCUGGACGUCCAUCCGUUUUUAGCUUGUGGUCCCUAUAGAGGUCACAAUUUUUAUACGCCCACAUUUUCAUGUGGACGUAUAUUGUCGUAGCCCCUGUCCGUCCAGACGUCCAUCCGUUUUUAGCUUGUGGUCCCUGUAGAGGUCACAAUUUUUAUUCGAUUUAUAAAAAAAAAAACAAUGGGAAUAUAUAACCAUUACACACUAAGAUCUUGGUUCCUUUUCAUAAUCGCGCAUAUCCGAACGUAACUUCCUCGAUUAUGGCUCCUGAUUGUUCGAAAAAUCGCAUAAUCAAGGUUGAAUUCGAAUUAAGGGAAAAUCAAAAUGAAACUGCCUGACAAAAUGUGUAAAAGUAUGCAAUAUGAAGGCAUUGGAUACUCAAGAUUUUAACUGGCCUGCAAUUUAAAAAUUUAAUUAAAAAAUGGGAAAGUGAGGCCAAGUCUCGAAUAUACCUGUGCCCUCAUUACCACAAUGCACACAUCAUGUCGAAACUAGAAACUGUGAUAACUUGGCUCAGAAUGAAGUAAUUUGAAUGAAAUUUUCAUUUUACAUGUAUAUUAUUUAUUUUUGAACAAUCAUAGCAAGAAUGGUCAGCUCUUUAUCUAAAUCUGGGCUAAUGAAGACGAGCAUAUGCCAUACAGUGUACUAUGAGGGAAAUUUUGCCUGGGCAGCGGGGCUACGGCCUACUCUUAUAUCGAAUUCCAACUGCCAAGGGAUCUUUUACGUGCAUGCCAAUGUCUACACGGGACCUCGGUUUUUCGUCCCAUAACGACUAGACAGCUGUCCGUCUGUCAGUUCCUCCGUCCUGCAUCACUGACAAGGGAAACCACGCUGGAAAAUCAGGAUGAACUUUCUCGGCCAAUACAGGGAUCGAACACCCGAUCUCCAGGCUAGCGAGCCAGCGUCUUACCCACUUAGCCACUUGAUCCCCCCCCUUUGGUGAAAGAGAGAGAGAGAGAAAUGGGGUUUACCGUCCACUCGACACAAACUAGGUCAUUUCGGGACUAACAUAUGGUUUAAUUUUUUAUUUACAUAAUUCGCUUGCGCGUAGGGGUCUUUAGCAGUGGGAGGAAACCAAAGGACCCGGAGAAAACCCACAAGGUUGGACAGGCGACCCUACUCCUUGCCACGUACAACCGGGGUUUCGAAACCACGCCAUUCGACUCAAUGACAGACUCAACCACGCUAACCAUUCAGCCAUCCACCCAUCCCCCCCCCCCUUUGUUGAAAGAAAACAGAGCUGUGGCUAGUGAAAUGAAAGUUUAACGUCCUACUGUUUUGCUCUGAACUGGGCUAAUGAAGAUGGGCAUACGCCAUACAGUGUGCUAUGUGGGAAAUUUUGCCCGGACAGUGGCACUACGGCCUUCUCUUAUAUCGAAUUCUAACUUCAAGGGCUCUUGUACGUGCACGCCAAUGUGUACAUGGGACCUCAUUUUUUUGUCCCAUUUUAAUGACUAGACAGCUGUCUUGUCUAGCCCUCUGUCCUGCAUCACUGACAAGGGAGAACCACGCCCGAAAAUCUGGAGUAACUUUCUCGGCCAAUGCAGGGAUCGAACACCCGACCUCCAGACUAGAUAGCCAGUGUCUUACCGACUCAACCAACGUGAUCCCCGUUGUGGCUACAAUUCCUGGAUUUGAAGGUCAGGUAUGAUAUGAAACGAAUAUUUUGAACCGGUUCACCAAUGCAACCAAUCCGUGACGGGUUAACUGAUAGAGGGUUACAUCCUUGAUAUAUAUAAAGGUAGCUCAAAAUUCAUCUCUACAUGUACAGAGGCCAAGGGGGGAUCAUGUGGCUAAGUGGGUAAGACGCUGACUCGCUAGCCUUGAGGUCGGGUGUUCGAUCCCUGCAUUGGCCGAGAAAGUUCAUCCUGAUUUUCCGGUGUGGUUUCCCAUUGUCAGUGAUGCAGGACGGAGGGCCUGACGAAGACAGCUGUCUAGUCGUUUGGAUGGGACAAAAAAAAACAAGGUCCAGUGUACACAUUGGCGUGCACAUAAAAGAUCCCCUGGCAGUUGGAAUUCGAUACAAGAGUAGGCCAUAGCGCUGCUGCCCGGGCAAAAUUAUCUCAUAGCACACUGUAUGGCGUAACCUUUUGCGUCUCUUCAAAAUAUUUCAAAUCUUUUGUCAUGGAUCAACCAUUGCAAAUAUCCGUGUUACAAUUAUAUUUGAAAUGUGUUAAACCAAUUCUGCAACACAUGUAAUAUUGGUGUAGUAUAUAUCUUUGUUUAUACACCCACAUAUCAAUUUUGGCCCUGUUUGUCCGUACACUGGGUGUGAAAUGUGAAUCAUUCCGAUUGUGAGAGGACAAGCAUUAUCAAUAUACAGCUUUUCAGGACUUUGCUUUCCUUGGUUAAUUCUCCCUAGUCUAGUCGUUUGGAUGGUACGAAUGAUCGAGGUCCUGUGCACACAUUGGUGUGCACGUGAAAGAUCCCUUGGCAGUUUGAAUUCGAUAUAAGAGUAGGCUUUAGCGCCGCUGUCUGGAUAAAAUUCCAUAAUAGGACACUGUAUAGCAUAUUUCCAUGUCAUUAGCCCUGUCGGAAUAGGACAUUAAACCCAUUUCAUUUCACUCAUUCCAAAGUUAACUUCUAUUCCAUCAAUACCUUGAGCAAAUAAGAUAGAGGCUAUAGGUUUUGGCCCAAUUUGGUCAAUAUCCCAGUUUUUUCUUUCUUAUAUGCAUAUCAACACUUUCAUAGCGCUAAUGUAGACCUUUUUCUUGAACAUUUUCCCGUGUCAGUGAUGCCGGACAGAGGACCUGACAUGGAUGGCUGACUAGUCAUACGGAAGGGACAAAAAAAACAAGGUACAGUGUAAACUCAAGUGUGUGUGUGUGUGAAAGAUCCCUUGGCAGUUGGAAUUUUAUAUAAGAGUACGCCAUAGCUCUGCACACUGUGUGGCAUAUGCCCGUCUUCAUUUCUCAAACAGCUGUGGAUAAAAACUGUUAAUAUUUAAAUGUGUAUUUUGUAUUUUAUAACAUUAUAUUUUUGUCUUUUAAAUAAAGUAUAUGUAUACAUA